GGGUGCAAUCAAACCAGCACUAGUGCGCUGGAUCUCAUCAGAACUUCGCAGUUAAGCGUGCUUAGGCGAGAGUAGUACUAGGAUAGGUGACCUCUCGGGAAGGCCUUGUGUUGCACCCC
rfam:Gossypium arboreum cultivar AKA8401 contig_30330_1, whole genome shotgun sequence.